rnacentral:rRNA from 1 species
UGUUUCGGCUAGGGGGUCAUCCCGACUUACCAACCCGAUGCAAACUACGAAUACCGAAGAAUGUUAUCACGGGAGACACACGGCGGGUGCUAACGUCCGUCGUGAAGAGGGAAACAACCCAGACCGCCAGCUAAGGUCCCAAAGUCAUGGUUAAGUGGGAAACGAUGUGGGAAGGCCCAGACAGCCAGGAUGUUGGCUUAGAAGCAGCCAUCAUUUAAAGAAAGCGUAAUAGCUCACUGGUCGAGUCGGCCUGCGCGGAAGAUGUAACGGGGCUAAACCAUGCACCGAAGCUGCGGCAGCGACACUAUGUGUUGUUGGGUAGGGGAGCGUUCUGUAAGCCGUUGAAGGUGGCCUGUGAGGGUUGCUGGAGGUAUCAGAAGUGCGAAUGCUGACAUAAGUAACGAUAAUGCGGGUGAAAAACCCGCACGCCGGAAGACCAAGGGUUCCUGUCCAACGUUAAUCGGGGCAGGGUGAGUCGACCCCUAAGGCGAGGCCGAAAGGCGUAGUCGAUGGGAAACAGGUUAAUAUUCCUGUACUUGGUGUUACUGCGAAGGGGGGACGGAGAAGGCUAUGUUGGCCGGGCGACGGUUGUCCCGGUUUAAGCAUGUAGGCGGAUGUUCCAGGUAAAUCCGGAACGUCACUAACGCUGAGGUGUGAUGACGAGGCACUACGGUGCUGAAGUGACAAAUGCCCUGCUUCCAGGAAAAGCCUCUAAGCAUCAGGUAACAUCAAAUCGUACCCCAAACCGACACAGGUGGUCAGGUAGAGAAUACCAAGGCGCUUGAGAGAACUCGGGUGAAGGAACUAGGCAAAAUGGUGCCGUAACUUCGGGAGAAGGCACGCUGAUGGUAAGUGAAGUGACUUGCUCAUGGAGCUGAAAUCAGUCGAAGAUACCAGCUGGCUGCAACUGUUUAUUAAAAACACAGCACUGUGCAAACACGAAAGUGGACGUAUACGGUGUGACGCCUGCCCGGUGCCGGAAGGUUAAUUGAUGGGGUUAUCCUCACGGAGAAGCUCUUGAUCGAAGCCCCGGUAAACGGCGGCCGUAACUAUAACGGUCCUAAGGUAGCGAAAUUCCUUGUCGGGUAAGUUCCGACCUGCACGAAUGGCGUAAUGAUGGCCAGGCUGUCUCCACCCGAGACUCAGUGAAAUUGAACUCGCUGUGAAGAUGCAGUGUACCCGCGGCAAGACGGAAAGACCCCGUGAACCUUUACUAUAGCUUGACACUGAACACUGGUCCUUGAUGUGUAGGAUAGGUGGGAGGCUUUGAAGUGUG